AGGGCGGUGUCUUCAUCUUCUAUGUAUUCGUCCUCCCUUCAUCAUCAUGCUCAUCUCUCACUUUUGGAGCGAUUACAAAUCGCCCGAGACAUGUUUUGGUUCGUGUUAUGAACACGCAACUCAAUAUUGCAUUGCACAUCCGAAGCUCAUGGAUUCACACUUCAUCAUCUUAUCGUCUACUUUAAUUCCUCUCUCCGAGAUCCACGACUGAUUCCAGAUCUCUUUCUCCAUAAGUUAUGACAAAUUUUUAAAUCUGGAAUAUUCGUCGUCAUCGACGUCUUCUCCAAAUGCAAAUGCGAAAUGCGCGUG
rnacentral:lncRNA from 1 species